UACGUAGGGUCCGAGCGUUAAUCGGAAUUACUGGGCGUAAAGGGCUCGUAGGCGGCCAACUAAGUCGGAUGUGAAAUCCCCAGGCUUAACCUGGGAACUGCAUCCGAUACUGGAUGGCUUGAAUCCGGGAGAGGGAUGCAGAAUUCCAGGUGUAGCGGUGAAAUGCGUAGAUAUCUGGAGGAAUACCGGUGGCGAAGGCGGCAUCCUGGACCGGCAUUGACGCUGAGUGAGCGAAAGCCAGGGGAGCAAACGGG
rnacentral:rRNA from 1 species